UCUUCUUCUCCUUCUUCUUUUCUUUUUUUUUUGAAAAUUGUCAGCUGUUUUAUAAAUCAACGAAAUUAUACAUAACGACCCACCCAAAUAGGGUUGUUAGAAAGAGCUGUUACUUAAGCAAUUCAACCCUUUAACAAAUAAUGAAACCCAUCUAAAAAUACCCACACUACCUGCGAAUAACUAAAAUGUGCUUAGAUCUCUUGGCAACAAUCUUACGUUCUACAAACUUCUCCCUCAAAAGAGGAGAAAUCUACAAAAUAACAAUAAAAAUAAAAAUGAAACCCUAACCAAUGCAGCCCAAGCCCAAGAGAAAAAAAGUAAGCCUACGAGGGAAAGGACCAGCCCACGAAUUUGGGGAGAAUCCUAGCCACAGGCUUGGCCACCUGAACAACCUGUGGACAACCACAGCCUCCGCCAGCAAACCGCCGCGCCUUCCGAAAACUAAUUCGGACCCACGCCAGAGGAGGGCCACCACAAUAGCGCCCCAACCACCAUAUCUCAUCUAUGGUCAACACAUCCUUGGAGAAAUCGACUUCACCAAUCGGAGCCGCAUCAACGGCCUCCCAAAACCCGCAGAUCGAACCCUGUGUCCAUCAAUCCAAUCCAAAUAAAGAAGAAGGACAAGAGUCCAACAAGUUGCGAACCACGCCAAGGAUCUCCAUCUCCAUUGUUCGCCGGGUGACCAGAGAAAGGGGAAAGCCCACCCACACCAGCUAAAUUUACCGGGCCGUCGCUGAGGUCAGAGAGAAGGAGCUAGGAUCUAUGGAGACUGAAACUGAAACUGCUAUGAGGCUAUGAUUUCAGUUACAUUGCAGCAAAUCCUACUUCGUAACGAAAACUAGCCAGAAAGUAUAUGGACCGAGAGAUGCACAUACAUAGUCCAGUAACACAACACCCGAUGACAAUAAUAAUAUAAUAGCGUUGACGAAGACCUUGCAAUGCGCGACGUCUUUUUCUUCAUCAUUUCUUCAAGGAUGGUUCUUGGCUGACCAGGUGUGGCUAGCACCUCCUGACCAGGUUUUGAGAUGUCCCUCUUGUAAUGUUACACGUGUCCCUUCUUCCUUUUCUACUUUUAUCUUUUUUUUUUCUUUUUCAGUUAUCAAUCCUGCAAAAUAGAUUCCUAAAGCACAGAUCUAGCCUUCAACAUGCCACAUUUUCACCUAACGACUUCCUGUCUAAGAGCAUCUCCAAUGGAGUAGUUAAAAUGCUUGUGUCAAAUUCAAAUUUGAAAGCUGAUGUGUCAAUUGUCAUUUUUGACAAAUUUCUACUCCAGUGAAUAUGUUAAAUUUAAAUAUUAUUAUAUUAUUUUUUUAGAAUAUUUUAUAACAAAAAUAAACCAUUUUUAUCCAACAUCUCCCACUUCUUCUUCUCUGUUCUUCUUGCUGCCGCACAACUCCGCUGCAUCUCUCUGGUAAGUGGUAAUAUACUAAUUUUGACAAAACACCAAUUCCUUCUUCUUCCACAUGUUUCGAACCCCAAUUUCCAGAUAUGCCACACUUCUCAUAAACUCAAAUCCCAAUUAAUUCUUAUUCACAAACCCAAUUCCCAUAAUCACAAAAAAAAAAGCUCAAAUCUUUGGUGCCAAACAGCAAAUCCUACCUGCAACAUACCACCCACCAUCUUCAAAUCCCGCCACCACCGAGACAAACAUCUAUCAUGAAAGGUUUUUCAUGACUUAAUUUGGUCUGGGUAGGAUGAAAGAGAGAGAGUUUUAGUAUGUUAUUCUCUUAUGAUUUUAUUAGAACUCUAGUUGAAAUCGAACUCAUCCAUGGUGAAAAGCUACUCGUGGUGAGGUUGAGGACAUAGAGAUUUUGGUGUAUUCAUGGUGAGAAAGAGCUAUUCAUGGUGAGGAGAUCUGGGUAGGAAUCUGAUGGGUUUGGUCUGGGAAGAACGAUAGAGAAUUAGAGAGGAGAAGAAAAGAGAGAGAAGGAAAGAGA